CACGACUCUCCUCUCUCGAUCCCCUUCGAAAACUCUCGCGGAAACCCACGAUAGCCCACGUCGUCGCCGUUCCGAUCUAGGCCAGCCAAGCAUAGUUCACCGCUCCACUUCGCCCGCCGGGAACACCGGAACCUCGUCCUCAACCUCGUCCGCCGUCGCCGGAGCUCCCGGUUCACAGGAGCUUCUCGAGUCGCCCCGCUCGCCCUGGACAUCCCCGACCUCCACCUUCAACAAAAAUCGGACCCCCUCGGAGUUCCCCAUCCGCUGGGCAUCACAGUCGACGCCGCCGUCGACCGGAGCCGCUGCCACGCCGAAGUCCACUUCCCUGCCUACGCGUACUCUUCUCUGUUCAACGUUCUGUGAUACCCUGACCGCGCGUGUGCCUCGUGCGCCGCCGCCGUCAAACGCCAGGCGUCUCUGAUUUCCGUUGAGUUGAUCCCGACGUCCACCGGCAGGAAGCCCAUACAGUGGCGACUACGGAUGAACAACUAGCAGGUAGUACCACUUGCAAUCAGAGACACGAGGGCACCAAAAGUUUGAGUAUGGAUCCUAUGAAUAACGUUCAAAUGCAUACGAGCCAGGGAGGAUUUAGUACGCCCAAAAAGAACACAGACAUACCUCUCUUCUCUUCGUUUUUUAUACCUGAAUGUGAUGAGCAUCUGAAGCCUAAAGUGGGUAUGACAUUUGAAGGACUCGAGGCCGUGGAGAAGUUCUACAAGGAAUAUGCGCAUCAAUCAGGUUUUGGUGUUCGCAUUGGACAACAAAAAAAGAAUGAGAAUAAGGUGGUCCGUACUAAGCGUUUCAUGUGUAAUAGGGAAGGAUUCCAGGCAAAAGAUAGUAAAGAGACUAAUGACCCCUUGAAGAAAAGGCGUAAGCAGACAGAUACACGAUGCGGUUGUGAUGCCCAUAUCUUUGUUAGACUUUGUGGGGAGAACACCUACAAGAUAGACUCACUGAUUGAGCACCA